rnacentral:rRNA from 1 species
UACGAAGGGGGCUAGCGUUGUUCGGAUUUACUGGGCGUAAAGCGCACGUAGGCGGCCAACUAAGUCAGACGUGAAAUCCCCAGGCUCAACCUGGGAACUGCGUCUGAUACUGGAUGGCUUGAAUCCGGGAGAGGGAUGCAGAAUUCCAGGUGUAGCGGUGAAAUGCGUAGAUAUCUGGAGGAAUACCGGUGGCGAAGGCGGCAUCCUGGACCGGCAUUGACGCUGAGGAGCGAAAGCUAGGGGAGCAAACGGG